AUAAGGUAUUGAAUAUAGUUCCCUGUGCUCUGCAGAAGAAAUUUGGUUUUUAUUCAUUUUAUAUAUAGUAGCUAAUAUUUGCAAAUCUCAAACUCCCAAUUUGGGAGAUUCUUGCUGAGCACAAGGAACAGGAAGGAGGGCACUGGGGCUGCAUCAGCCAGGGUGCAGAUCAGUCUACCACUCCAAGGGUCCUGUUGCCUACCGAGGAAGCUGAGGCCUGGCAAGUUCAGCAAAUCCCGGGCUUUGGUGCUGACCGACAGGCACGUGGAGGUGGCCACACCCACAGCAGGCUGAGAAGGAGCCCUGGAGUAGCGGGCAUCAGAAACGAUUCAGGCAGCAAUUAUUCAGUCUCAGAAAAGUCUCUCUGGAAGGACCAGUUCUGUCCUGUAAACGUGAGGAGCAUUCGCUGAGGUCGGGGCCCACGGGGGGCACGUCGGUUACGAGCAUUUGAGGAACGCUCAUCAGGAAAUGGCCAUCCUUCUCCACAGACUAAAACCUUCCUGGCAGAGACCACACAUUUUGAUCGUACUUCCCAGAAGGUCUCAGGUUCUCUGGGUCCAUGUGUAUGAAUUAUCUUGAGUGUGGUCAGAUGUCGCCAAGUCACACGAGCCUCCCUAAUUAACAGGGUUCGUAAGUGCUCACUGCGCGUCAGCGCUGCGGAACCAGCUUUUCCUCUGCUUGGCUUUUGUGUAGCUCCCUUUACCACUGCGGACAAUCCGUUAUUUUAUUGUCACGACAAGACUGUGGAGAAGCUGAGUAUGAGAGACAGCGCGUCUUUCUCUCUCUUUCUCCUUUCUUUCCUUCCUUCCUUCCCUCCUUGAGGAAAUGGAAUGUUAAACAGUGUUUGAUAUGAUAGAAAGAGCUGGAAUCCCAGCGACCCAGGCAGCCUCCUCUGUGUGGUCUGGUCAGACCCCUCCAGACAGGGACGUCGGCACCAGGUCCGGCUGCGCUGGUGUUGGGUGGGACAGCUGGGGGCUGUGUCCGGAUCUGCAGACCCUCUGUGGGGUCCCGGUGCCUCCUGAGGACACGGUGGUGAUGGAGGGAGAGCUCGGAGACUGGCGUCCAGGCCGGGGAGAGUCAUUAACCAGCUGCGGAAACUUGGGGAAAUCAGUUUCCGUCUCUAGCCUGCCGCGGUCUCAUCUGGAAAGGAGAGACGUUACGUUUCGUUGAUUUAAGCGAUAUUCCUACGGCUGCCAUCUCCUGCUGGUGCUGGUUCUGAGCGCUGUACAAACAUCAGCUCGUUUAAUGCUCCAGACCGCCCUCCAAGGUAGGUAAGACUGUCCCCAUUGUACUGAUCAGGAAACGAAGACACAGGAAGGUGAAGCAGCCUGCUCAGGCCCAGGCCGGAGCUGGCAGAGCCACUGCAAGUCCAAGCAGGCGGGCUUUUAAGUUCCCCACGCCCCUGCCUCCCAGGGCGAGGUGUGUAAGUUCCCUCCUCGCUCACGCAUCUGAUGAGUGUGAUUUUAGGCGGUGAGAUUUCAGCCUGUCUGGAACACUCCUGCUCUAAUCCAUUAAAUCAAACUGCACGCAGGCAUUUAUAAUCCUGCCCCUACUUGGGGCAGAGCCCCCAACAGACGCAACCACUUGCGAGCUGGCCUGGACGCUGGCUUACACCCAGGGUGGAGAAUGCACCUCUGUGUGCACUGAUACCCCAGUGAUUCAUGGUUUUAAACUCCUGGAAAACUGUAGGUGCUCACGUAGGCGGGGUGGCUGGUCCUGAGCCCCCCUCUCUUCUCAAGAGUUCACCUGCUCCCCUGAAGGUUCCAGUCACCUCUGCUUGGAUGACCCCAAACUGUCAUUAGGUGAAGUUAGGUUAAGAAGGGGCCACAAGCACCUCUUCUCACCUGCUCCCCCGUUUCCCACCCCCUCCCUGGAGGCUGGAACUUCCCACAGCCCCCCCCCGUACAGAGGUGGGGGCCCCUGUGUGUGAGCCCAGAACCCACCCUGAGGCCGCUGGGCUGGGGCUCCCCUCCAGCGCCUGGCUCACCACCUCUGGAGGGGCCCGUGGAAGCUCCUCUGGGGGACCUCUUGUCCCUGAGCCAUUGUGUUUCCUACGUGCUCUCAGACUCCUCCCCCCCCCAGCUCGGACUCGAGCUAAACCACUUCCUCAUCUCUCUCUAAGUCCAUCUCAGGGGACUCAGGUCCACGGUUGGUGGCCCCUCUGUCCUCGGGGGCCUGGCUGCCUCGCCCCUGCGGUCGUGGCUCUCAGUCCUUGCUGUCCCCGACCUUCCUCCCCCGACGUGACCCUGUGUCUGUCUCCCACUCUCUGUCUGGUGUUUCCUGUCGGUGACCCUGACCCACGGAGCUGCAGUCCUCCUGUCAGUACGGGACCAACCUCCCGGAAAACGGCCUCGCCCGUUGAGAGCUCUCAUCAAGUCCCUUUUCUUCGUCCAUGCGUAAAAGAACUGUCCGUGCGCAUAUCUUCUGGGUUUGGUUUGGUUUUGCUAAAACACAGGGAAGCUUACAAUGCAUUUUUUUACACCUUGUUUUUCUGCUUAAAAUUAGAUCUUGUAAUUUUUUCACACGAGACCAGAGAUAUCUACUUCCUGCUUUCAUGUCUGUAUAGUGUUUUAUUAUAUACACAGAUCGUAAUUUAUUUAACAGAGUCUUGACUGGUGGACAGUUGCUUCUGGUUAUGAGCUGUAACAGCAGAUGCUGCACAUAAAUGCCAGUGUGUCUGCACGUGUGUAUAUGUGCUUAUGAAUACAUGUGUGUUUGCACACGUGUAUACGUGUGUGAGUAUGUGUGUACAACCUACAUAUGUUCGUGCAUCUCUUUGAGUAUAUUUGUAGAAUAAAUACAUGACAAAGUAACCCCUGAGGUGAGGAAUACAUUCAUUUUAUUCGUUUUUAAUGUAUUAAAAUUGAUUAAUUUAGCAUCCAAAAAAGUUGCGUUGAUUUAGUCAUAACAAAACUGUUUCAUAUUCCCUUUUAAAUUGUUGCAUGUUGGGUGGGUAAACAACCCCAUCGCAUCGUUUUAAUUUGUAUUUUUUAAAUGUGAGUGAGUCUGAGGAUCAGUUUGUAUUUCUAAGCCUCUUGUGUUUCUUUGUCUGUCUGUUUACGUGCAUCGGUGGGUGUUCUGUUGGGUCUUUGUCCUUUUAGGAUUGACUCGUAAACUUUCUUUAUGUUUUUAGGCAUCAGUCUUAUGUCAUAUGCAUUGUAAGUAUUUCCCCAGUUUUGUUUUAUGCUACUUUUUUCCUGAAAAUGUGUUCAAUUUUUUAUGUAUUGAAAUCUGUUCCUUAAUGUCUUCUUUCUUUUGUCUUUUCUUUUCUUUUUUUUUAAGACGUUAUAUAUUUAGAGAAGUUUUUGGUUCCCAGCAAAAUUGAGAGGAAGGUACAGAGGUUUCCCAUAUGACCCUCCUGCCCCAACUCCAGCGCCCCCUUUAUCAGCAUCCUUCACCAGGUGGUCCAUUUGUUACAGUGAUGUACCUCCAUCAGCACAUCAUGAUCACUCCAAGUCCACGGUUUGCAUCAGGCUCGCUCUUGGUGCUGCACACGCCAUCGGUUUGGACAGAUGUACAAUACGAUGUACACACACCAGCGUAGGACUGGACGGUAUAGUUCCCUUGCCAUAAAAAUCCUCUGUACUCUGCCUACUCCUCUCCACACCUUCCACCCUAACCCCUGGCAAACACUGAUCUUUUUACUGUCUCCACACAUUUGCCUUUUGCAGAACGCCAUGUAGCUGGACUCACAGUGUGCAGUGUUUCCACACUGGCUCCUUUCACUUGGUAACAUGCACUUCCGUUUCCUCCAUGUCUUUUCAUGGCUUGCUAGCUCAUUUCUUUUUAGUGCUGAAUAAUAACUCACUGUCUGGAUACACCACGGUGUAUUUAUCCGUUCACCUACUGAAGGACAUCUGGGUUGCUUCCAAGUUUUUGUGAUGACUAAAGCCGCUAUAAAUAUCUGAGCGCUUCCAAUUUUCUUGUUUUGCUUUGAAAGUUUGUCUCAGUUCCAAGAUAAAUUUAAAAAAAAUUUAGAUCCUAAUUUUCUUCUAGGUUGUGAUUUUACUUUUUGCCCUUAUUCUUUAAUCCAUUUGAAAUUAUUUUAGUGUUAGAAUAGGUAUUAAUGUGUUUCUUCAGCUGACUUUGGACUUAUUUUGAUGGCAAGGGUUACAUUCUGCUCUUCUUUGAAGUCUAUCUAAGAUGGAACAAAAUGUAUGGCAUAUAUGGCACUAAGUACUCUACCUGUUAGCUGCCAUGAUACGUACUUGCUUUAAUGAAUAUGUUGCCGUACCGCUAGCAUGUAGGGACCAUUAAUGUAGUAAUGACAGCUACCAAUUAUGUGCUGGGUAGACUCUGCAAAUUUUAACCAUUUUAGAUCCAACAACCUUGUAAGGCCUGUUAUACUGUCUCCACUUUAUUGAUAAGAGCAUGGAUGACCUCAAGAUCACACAUCGUCAGAGUGGCAACGCUGGGGCUCGAACACAAGUUGGUGUAUCUUCAAAACACCAAGGUUCCCCACAUCCACUACUGCUGCUCUCAGCGGCGAGAGGAGGUGAACGAUGUGUGGAAAUACGGAGUCACCUCUUUCCUGUCCACUAGCUGGAAUUUACAGUUCUCACGGUUCAGUCUUCACAUCAAAUAUUUUAUUGAAUUGGAUUUAAACCUUUUUACCGGCUACUGAGCCCGAUGAGGUAAGACUUAGUAAGUGCUGUGUGUUGGCUUCUGUCCCAGCGCAGCGGCUACAAGCACUUUGCAGUGAUAAUUUCCCCCUAAUUGGUUGUCACUAAUGCACUGCCAUUCUGGAAUUUGUCACUUACCGAAAUGUGCCUUAGCAAAUGGACCGUGCUCUCCACCUGAAUGCACAUUGACACACGCUGAAAGCAGCUCGGCGAGAGGCAAGCGGGAUUAAGAAGAAGAAGAUGACUUGCAGGAUAUGCUGGGUGGGCAGUAGGUGACCUAGUGGGUAGCCGCCUUCUACGAGAUCUCUUUUUGGACGAGGGAGUAUGGCUGGAAGAACAGGGACUGGGGAUCAGGAGACUGGUGGAGAGACGGGGCUGGACCAAAGUCAGCGUUUGUCUCCAGGGUUCGUCUUCCUUCCUCAGAGACCCAUUUUCUCAGAAGCAACACGGAGAGACUUGCUUGGAUCUGUCGUUUCAGCCUGUGCUCUGCGGCUACUUGGGGUCAUUGUGAGUAAGAAACCGGAGGGAGCCAGGAGGGGUCUGAGUCCCCUGCGCCAGCUCAACCUCACAGCCCCCUGCUUUGCCCAUUUUCACAUCUUACGUUUCCAUGGUGAACGACAUGCCGACCAUCGGAAGGGAGGCUCCCCCAGGAGGGCUCCAGUGAUGACAUUCUGAGGUCUUACUCCUCGUAUUCCAUCUCCAGCAGCCCCCAGGGCGCGUGCUCCGAUGAAGGUUAGCAGGACAAGCACAGCGCAGGCUGCACGUGUGGUUUCCCAGCAAAUCCCACCGGCCAAGCCUUUCCAGGAAGCCCUUCCCAAUCAAGCAGAAGUCAGACGUUCGCGAGGGCAACCCCAGAACGCGAGGGCCACGCCGCCGCUCAUUCCCUGCCUGGUUCCGGGCGCACCGCUCCACUUCCGGUCUGCACUGGCAUCUCCUGUCCUGGAAGGCCGGCUUCCUGGACCUAAUGGUUCUGAGUCCAUUCAGUCCUGGCCUGGCUCAUACUCAUCAGAAGGAAGAGGCGUGGCUUCUUCACCAUGUGUUUUCAAGGACCUUCAGCUUUGUCUUCCAUUUCCAUCUCCGAGGCUCCCACGAUGCUGGCCGCCUUGGCAGCCCCCGCAGCGCGGCUCAUGGUGCAUUUUGGUUGCCGUUUCGUGACUCAGUGUCGUGAGUUUCUCUCUUCGGACUGUCCUUCUAGAAUCAGCAGGAAGAAGGAGAAGGUGACCAAGGCAGAAUGGAAGGUGGUUGAACUUCUCUCUUUUUUUAAAAACACACAGGGAUUGAAGAAAUCUGAAUAAGUGUGGAGGGUCAGGGCAAAGUCACUGAGGGAAAGAACAAGAUAGGAGGUUUAAAGAAAGAGCAGAGGGAUGAAGCAACGCCCUUAAAGUGGUGGAGACAGGGCGGGGUCAGAGUUCAGCUAGGAGGUGGGCGGGAGGGGUUCGGCUGGAUGGGAAAGGUGUCCACUGUGUCCCACUGUUGAAAAUUUAGCGGGAAAAGCCCCUCCCUCUCCAGCCCAGGGAAAAGCUGGGGAGGGUGUCCCAUGGCAGAACACAGAGCCUGUUUGGAGAGGCACUAACCCAAAGCAAGAAAAUAAGCAAAAAUUUAAAUAAUUUUAAAUGUCCAAAAGAGGGUGCAUGAGAAAUUAAUUCAAUGAUAAAUUGUCCUGGAUUUUAAAAUAAGAUAAAGAAAUAUCAGCCUGACACAAUUUAUUUUUUUCUGAGCAAUGAUUUUUUUGUUGUUGUUCCUUCUGUCCCGACAAAAUGGAACAGAGUGGACACCUUUCCCAUCCAGCCAGAUCCCUCCAGCAUCCUCUCUCCCCCGCGUUUCUGCAUCAGCGCGUGCGAACAGUCCCCAGGGGCGUUGCACUGUCCGUGCAGCAGCACCUGGGCAGCUCUGAAGUCCUCCACUCUGCAGAGUCCUCUGGGCUCCUUGAAUAUGAACAGGUUGUUUUCUGAACAAACCAUUAGGAAACCUGGGCGGACAAGUUUACUUAUGGGACAAAGGGGCAGACCAUUUAUAAUUAUGGGGUCUCCUGAGAAAUCCUGAAAUCUGGAUGGAUGGAGCAGAGCAACCUGCCCUCUGGAGGGAAGUGGGCUCCACACUUGGAAAACAGGCCAAGCUUGGCUGCGGGAAGCUCUCAGACAACGCCAAGGACACGGGCAAGAGGCAAGCUUCCUGCUACGUGCCAGAUCCCGUAGGAGGAGCUUGUGUCUGUUAGCUGGUCUUCCUAAAACCAUGGUAUAGAUAUGAUCAUCUUCACGUGGAACUGGUAAUUUCGCGUCUCUCUGGGAUGGUUUGCCAAAACACCCACGGCCAGCAAAGGGUGCCACGUAAUUCUAACCCAGCUGAGACAAGUUAUGAAGCCAGCUCCUGUCCCACAUGCCGGGACGUGUCCAGUCAUCCCGACCCCUCUCCUGGUCCACGUCAUCCCUUCUAGGGACUAGUGGCCUGAUUCCAGUAAGAAUAGGAUUCAGAUCGCUCAGCCUCGUCACAGCCAGAUCGUUGACUCCUCCUGCCUUUGUCACCUGGGAUCUCAUCUGGAGUUCUGUCUCCAGAUUUCCCUGACUUUGGGUCUGUGCUUUAUCCUCUCCCUCAACUCUCUCUUAUACCAGAGGACACAUUUGCCUUCUUGGAUCUGAUGCUCUCUGACCCACCUCCAUUAAGGUCUGAGCUCACCCUGGGGGCCUCUGGCUCCUGCUGACCCAGCCUGGUCCUGGGACCCAGCCUGUCACUGGACAUCUUGACCCCCUGCACCUCCUCAUCCUCCACCAUACAGGAUUCUGUGGUGUCGAGUGGCAGUUGGGUGUGCAGUGGGAUUCCUCCAGGAGACACCUAGAAGAGGAAGAAGGUGAACUCAGAGCAGCCAGAGCUGUGCCUCAGGCCCCGAGGUCAUGCACUGGCCAUGGAGUGAGAGGAGAGGAGGUCUGUCACACGGUCCCCCCUGGGUAGCCUGCAGGAGGGUCCUCACCCUUACUGGGAAGGAGCCUGAGGCAGCUGGGCUGCAGAGUCUGCCUUUACUGGCUGCUGGACCCAGUGUUCCACAUGGUCACCCACUGUCCUAGUCAGAGGCUGUCUGAUAUCUGACCUGCCCUUGUGGGCUGACUGUCCCGGCAGAGCCAGUGAGGUUAUGAAUGGCUCAUGUCAAAUCUGACCUCUUAAGUGCUGACUUCCAGCCUUUGUCAUGUGCUUUGUAGAAGCAGAGCAGACCAGCUAUUUCAGACUAUGCCAAUAAAAUUGCUCAUAGAGUGAAAGAACCACUGGCCUUUUUUGACUUACAUCAACGCACAAUGCUGUUUGUCAAAUGGGCUUGGAGGUUCUCCCUUUGAAAUUCCAAGCUGUAAAUAAGACAGGCAUCUUUGCCUAGGGGGUGCCCGCCUCCCUACACCCAUUUUGAUAAAGAGUCUAGUAAAAUCAAUGAGGUGGAAACUGACGGCCUGAGAAGAGUGAGGAAGGGUUUGACUUAACCUUGGCAUAUGUUGGAUCAGGGGCUCUGAGGUGGCGAGGUAGAGGUGUUCUGAUAGCUGUUUGUAACUAGCUGUUAAGUUAUUCUUUUACGAAAAAUAUAGGGAGUACCCAUGCUCUCUGUGGCUCCAAAGGGAAGAACUGAAUCUCAUGUUUGUGCAGUGGAGGGUACACGUUUCAGCUCCCUGUAAGCUCCAUUUAGCGAUGGAGAGCUCUAUCUUGAAGUGACUUACCUACCACUGGAUGGUCACGGCACGAGUACAUAAUGGGCUGUUGUGUUUGUAUAAGAGGAACCCAAAUGUCACUUUGAGAUCCUAUGACCAUCUUCUAGACACAUUCAACAGAAGCAAAAAGGACAAAAGGCAACGUGUGAGAAGGUAUAUUUCACUUUGUUUCCCCACAAUUUUUAUCAAGGAAAGCAGAACCACUCCGAGUAAGAAGAAAACAAAAUUGAAAAAAUAUAUAUAUAAUGAAUAAAUUCAUACCAUAAAUAAAAAUGUAAAGUCUUCCAUAAUCUCAUCACUGUCACAUGACAACUUUUUCAUUGCUCUGUAUUCACAGAAAACAUAUAAUUUUCAGGGUUUGUGAUUUUUGCACAGUUGUAAUCAUGGUGCAUAGAAGGUUGAAUAAAAAUCAAGUGUUUUGAGCUUCUCUUCAAAUGAUUAGGACUAGAAGCACUCUUUAGUCUUACUUUAUGUGGGAAUUAAUAAUACUAGAUAGCAUACUAUUUAUUAAUAGAUGUAUAUCAAUAGUAGGCUUUUGUACACACCGUUAUGAAUAAAUAACUUGCUUAUUUCCUGCUGGCAAUUCUUUUUGGUCUCAUGUUACUUACUGCAUAUUUUUAUAAACCAGGGGUCCAUGGCCGGGCCUCAGGGGGACU